AGUGAACGCUGGCGGUAGGCCUAACACAUGCAAGUCGAACGGCAGCACAGUAAGAGCUUGCUCUUACGGGUGGCGAGUGGCGGACGGGUGAGGAAUACAUCGGAAUCUACUUUUUCGUGGGGGAUAACGUAGGGAAACUUACGCUAAUACCGCAUACGACCUACGGGUGAAAGCAGGGGAUCUUCGGACCUUGCGCGAUUGAAUGAGCCGAUGUCGGAUUAGCUGGUUGGCGGGGUAAAGGCCCACCAAGGCGACGAUCCGUAGCUGGUCUGGGAGGAUGAUCAGCCACACUGGAACUGAGACACGGUCCAGACUCCUACGGGAGGCAGCAGUGGGGAAUAUUGGACAAUGGGCGCAAGCCUGAUCCAGCCAUACCGCGUGGGUGAAGAAGGCCUUCGGGUUGUAAAGCCCUUUUGUUGGGAAAGAAAAGCAGCAGGUUAAUACCCCGCUGUUCUGACGGUACCCAAAGAAUAAGCACCGGCUAACUUCGUG
rnacentral:rRNA from 1 species